CAACCUAUAACUCCAAACACACUACACAACACAACUCAUAACACACAAUGCAGCACAACAAACACACAUUAUAACACACACCACAACACACAGCUCAGUGGUGCAUGGUGCAGGUGGUGACAGAAUCACCUCACACUGGGAAACAGCUGAAAGGAAGCUUCACUACCCAUCAGUCAUCAUUCUCCUGAAUAAAGGACAGGAAGUGAGGUAAAAUGCUUGCCAGCUUUAAUGAUCCGUCAGCACGAGCAGCUACACGUCUGAACGCUAAAUCACGCUCAUUACGCCUAAAGCGAACAGGUUCAAACUAAGUUUUAAAACGUUUCCAUGGCAACAGGUGUGGACAGAUUGGAUCUGGGGAGUCGUGCCUACCCUCCACUUUGGUGUAAGGUUUCCAUUUAUAGAACCAGCCUCGGA